CCUGUGUUACUGACAGUGCAUGUCCAUGUUGGUUGUUUUGAUGUUGUUCGUUCUAACCGGUUUAUGCUGUGUUCUUUUAGCAGAUGUUGAUUAAAAAAAAAUUGAUGUUAUAAGACCGGUAGCACAAGAGUGAGGCUUAAUGGUCAUAAAACAUCUGAAAAUAAAUGAGAUCAUCCCUUCUCUCAUCUAAGUACUCGGGGCACGGCGUUCGCUGCGACGAUGCACUCAGGGAAAAUGGAUGUUGAGCUUUAAGAUCUCAAUGUGUUUUG
rnacentral:lncRNA from 1 species